GUGAACGCUGGCGGUAGGCCUAACACAUGCAAGUCGAACGGCAGCACAGUAAGAGCUUGCUCUUACGGGUGGCGAGUGGCGGACGGGUGAGGAAUACAUCGGAAUCUACUUUUUCGUGGGGGAUAACGUAGGGAAACUUACGCUAAUACCGCAUACGACCUACGGGUGAAAGCAGGGGAUCUUCGGACCUUGCGCGAUUGAAUGAGCCGAUGUCGGAUUAGCUAGUUGGCGGGGUAAAGGCCCACCAAGGUGACGAUCCGUAGCUGGUCUGAGAGGAUGAUCAGCCACACUGGAACUGAGACACGGCCCAGACUCCUACGGGAGGCAGCAGUGGGGAAUAUUGGACAAAGGGCGCAAGCCUGAUCCAGCCAUACCGCGUGGGUGAAGAAGGCCUUCGGGUUGUAAAGCCCUUUUGUUGGGAAAGAAAAGCAGCAGGUUAAUACCCCGCUGUUCUGACGGUACCCAAAGAAUAAGCACCGGCUAACUUCGUG
rnacentral:rRNA from 1 species